rnacentral:rRNA from 1 species
CAAGGAUUCCCCUAGUAACUGCGAGUGAAGCGGGAAAAGCUCAAAUUUGAAAUCUGGCAGUCUUUUUUUUCUUCUUUGGCUGUCCGAGUUGUAAUCUAGAGAAGUGCUUACCUGCACUGGACCAUGUAUAAGUCUCCUGGAAUGGAGCGUCACAGAGGGUGAGAAUCCCGUCUUUGACAUGGACCGCCAGUGUGUUGUGGUGUGCUCUCAAAGAGUCGAGUUGUUUGGGAAUGCAGCUCUAAAUGGGUGGUAAACUCCAUCUAAAGCUAAAUAUUGGCGAGAGACCGAUAGUGAACAAGUACCGUGAGGGAAAGAUGAAAAGGACUUUGGAAAGAGAGUUAAACAGUAUGUGAAAUUGUUGAAAGGGAAACGCUUGAAGUCAGUUAUGUUGGCUAGGGAUCAACCUAGCUGUUUUUUGCUGGGUGAAUUUCCUAGUCUGACAGGCCAACAUCAGUCUUGACUGCUGGAAAAGAGCAGAGGGAAUGUGGCACCUUUGGGUGUGUUAUAGCCUUUUGUCAUAUGUGGCAGUUGGGACUGAGGGAUGCAGCAUGCCGCGAGGCUGGGUUUCUGACCACGUUCAUGCUCAGGAUGUUGGCUUUUAAUGGCUUCAAUCGACCCGUCUUGAAACACGGACCAAGGAGUCUAACAUGCCUGCGAGUGUUUGGGUGGGGAAAACCCUUGUGCACAAUGAAAGUGAAAGUUGAGAUCCCUGUCAUGGGGAGCAUCGACGCCCGGACCUGAGCUUUUAGCGACGGAUCUGCGGUAGAGCAUGCAUGUUGGGACCCGAAAGAUGGUGAACUAUGCCUGAAUAGGGCAAAGCCAGAGGAAACUCUGGUGGAGGCUCGUAGCGAUUCUGACGUGCAAAUCGAUCGUCAAAUUUGGGUAUAGGGGCGAAAGACUAA